rnacentral:piRNA from 1 species
UCCCUGCCUAGGUGUCUAGCAAUGAAGCC